rnacentral:rRNA from 1 species
UACGUAGGGACCAAGCGUUGUUCGGAUUUACUGGGCGUAAAGGGCGCGUAGGCGGCGUGUUAAGUCAGCUGUGAAAUCUCCAAGCUUAACUUGGAACGGUCAGCUGAUACUGAUGUGCUAGAGUGCAGAAGGGGCAAUCGGAAUUCUUGGUGUAGCGGUGAAAUGCGUAGAUAUCAAGAGGAACACCUGAGGUGAAGACGGGUUGCUGGGCUGACACUGACGCUGAGGCGCGAAAGCUAGGGUAGCGAACGGG